UGCCCCUUGAAUGCCAUUCUU
rnacentral:miRNA from 1 species